rnacentral:rRNA from 1 species
GACGAACGCUGGCGGCGUGCUUAACACAUGCAAGUCGAACGGAAAGGCCCUGCUUUUGUGGGGUGCUCGAGUGGCGAACGGGUGAGUAACACGUGAGUAACCUGCCCUUGACUUUGGGAUAACUUCAGGAAACUGGGGCUAAUACCGGAUAGGAGCUCCUGCUGCAUGGUGGGGGUUGGAAAGUUUCGGCGGUUGGGGAUGGACUCGCGGCUUAUCAGCUUGUUGGUGGGGUAGUGGCUUACCAAGGCUUUGACGGGUAGCCGGCCUGAGAGGGUGACCGGCCACAUUGGGACUGAGAUACGGCCCAGACUCCUACGGGAGGCAGCAGUGGGGAAUAUUGCACAAUGGGCGGAAGCCUGAUGCAGCGACGCCGCGUGCGGGAUGACGGCCUUCGGGUUGUAAACCGCUUUCGCCUGUGACGAAGGGUGAGUGACGGUAAUUGGUAAAGAAGCACCGGCUAACUACGUG